UACACAUUACAGAGAGCCCACCUAAACGAAGUUAAUGAAAUUAGAGAUUUAGGAGUUAUAGUAGACAGUCGUUUAAGCUUUAUAACUAAUAAUAAUAAUAA